GAGACUGGUGGGCAGCCUUUUGGGAACGACCCUGGCAACUGGGCAUCCCAGUGGAAGUGGGGAGCUGCUGCUGGAGGUGGAGGCAUCCUGACACAAGCUGAAAUCAUAGCAUGAACUGCCCAGGUCCGACUAGUUAGGACCCAGCCCACAGCCCAGUUGGCACAUCCAUGUCUCCAGGGACCGACCACACAUCCCAGCAUCCAGAACACGUGACAUUAGCUCCUAGACAGAGGGUAUGCAGAGUUCAGAGCAACAGAACCACGAGGUCACCAUCAUUCCCUGUAAAACAAGGCUGGCCUGGCAAGGUCACACCCUCAGAGCCCCAAAGCUUGCUCAGUCUGCUCAGCCCAUACAGAGCUCCACCUGGAGAGCCCCCGGCAAUGAUGUGAAGGGAUGAACCAGGGAGGAGGAGGGAGAGAGCUGCCCACAGGGCCUCAGGAAUGAGAGCUGUGGCCAUGUCCAAGGUCAGUAAGAGGUCAUGUUGUCAAAGGUGGCCUUGUACAGGCUGCGGAAGCUGUCAUCUGUACCAACAGAACCUAUGACAAGGACAAGAAGAGAUGCCAGGCAGCUGCAGGUCCUGAACUGAGGGAGCGUAUUAGUGAGGCCUGAAUCCUCCAACCAUCUCCUGCGCAGGAAUGAACCCUGCCCAAGGGGAACCUGAUCAGCACAAGCUAGUCAUACUCCAAGAGGAGAUCUCAACUGAGAAAUCGCCCCCUGUUCACAGAGCUCUCACCUUCCAGCAUGGCCCAGCUCUCACGGAGAUGGCUGCAGAGUCUCGGGGACACAGCACCGUCUGGAGCAGCCUGCAGGUGACAAGUGAGCAGGGACUCAGAGAGAGCAAGCAGAGGCCUGGCGGGGCCAGCCUUGGGCACAGGCAGCCGAAGCUGGCCAAGAAUUC
rnacentral:lncRNA from 1 species